rnacentral:lncRNA from 1 species
CCCCCCCCGCCCCGGGAGAAGGGGUCUUGACCUUGCACCUGGCGUCCUGUAGUGCCAAAUCGAGAGGGCAGAGCUCCGCUUCCGCUUCAAAGGACCAAGAGUUGGGACCACCACCCAGGGUGGGGCAAUGGGGUGGAGGUCAGCAGGGAAAGGGAAGGUUGGGGGCGGGGACCUGGGGCCUGCUCCCCCCUCCCAGUGGUGUGGGCACCCUGACCGGAGCCCCUCUGCGAAGAGGCACUGAAACGUCUGCAGAGGCCUUGCAUGUGCAGUCCCUUCUCCUCUGGAAGGAAUUUCAGCCAGUGUGCAGUGUUUCCCCUUAGCCCAGAGCCAAGGCUCCCUGUGGCCCUAAAACUGGACGUGACUGUCUGGACAGCUGAAGGUUUGCCGCAGGUAGCACUCCACCCAAGGGUUCUCAAAGUUCCGGAAGAGCAAUUGCCGCUCCCUGCACCAGGGCUACCUUUGUCCCUUGAACGUAUGCUUCCUCGGUUCUUUCUUGUAUGGGCUGAAUUCAGUCGAAGGAAAAGAAGAGAACACCGCAGCCCUCCACCCUGGGUGGCUGUUCGCAGAAUGUGAUGAUCCAGUAAAAAACAAAUCAUCAGACUUCUGCUCCGGAAAGCGCAAGCCGUGCUAAGAUUUUUGCUUCAGGAGCCAAGUGUGAUUGCUUCCCCGCCGCGCGUCCUCGGAGUCCGAGAACCAGCAGAU